AGCCUGCCACUCCUCCCCUAGUGUGCCAGUGUGUUUACUUGAACUCAAGAACUUGAAAGUUACUUAAGAGGAUUAAUUAAAGCCUUCAACAAGGAAGCAAAUCACCUUGAGGCUGUUAAGACCUUAUCUGCCAUCCACCCUGGUUGGUGCCCUCAAAUCUGUCUGGUUCACAGAAUUCCUUGCAGCAGUGUCUUCUCCCAGUCGAAUUAUGCUCACUAGACUUUGGGGUUAUCGAAGUUCCUUGUGAACCAACCUCGUGAAUCUGAUCGAGUCACUUAAAAACCUUGAGCUGGCUCCCGUCGUCCUUAGUAGAAUCCAAAAUUAAUAUCUCGGCUGGGCGCGGUGGCUCACGCCUGUAAUCCCAACACUUUGGAAGGCCGAGGCAGGCGGAUCACCUGAGGCCAGGAGUUCGAGACCAGCCUGGCCAAAAUGGCGAAACUCUGUCUCUACUGAAAAUACAAAAAAAUUACACAGGCUUGGUGGCCGGCGCCUGUAAUCCCAGCUACUUGGGAGGCUCAGGCAGGAGAAACUCUUGAAGCCGGGAGGCGGAGGUUACAGUGAGCCAAAAGGGCACCAUUGCACUCCAGCCUGGGCAACAAGAACGAAACUCCGUCUCAAAAAAAAAAAAAAAAAAAAAAAAAAAUUCAUAUCACAGUGCUGUGCAAGAAGACCCAGCAUGGUCCAGACCCAGCUUGCCUUUCCAGCUUCAAUUCCUGGCUGUGUCCUCCUUCCAGCUACAUUACCCUUCUAUCAUCGUUUUUGUUUUUUGUUUGUUCGAGAGAAGUCUCGCUCUUGUCCCCCAGGCUUGAGUGCACUGGCUCGAUCUCGG
rnacentral:lncRNA from 10 species